AACGGCCGCUGCGUCGCCCUGCGCCGGCCUCCCAUUGGGCGCUCGAAGUAAAGAGGGGAAGAUGGCGGAGUGAGGGGAAAGGGAAGGAGAGCGCCGUGGGCUGCGGCCCUGGGGCCUUAACUAAGGUCCAUGCAUGCACCAUCUUGAUUGGCAGUCAGAAUAAGAAAAUUAUCAGAAAGCCAAAGGCAAGAGUUCCUGCUGAUAGAUAGUUUCUGCAGCCAUAAAGCAAAAGGGGAAAACAUUCUUGUGGUUGUAGUCAAAGAAUCAGGAUUCAGAAAAUUACAGUAGUCUUAUGCAACAGUCCUUUCCUGUCAACCCAACACAGGCUGCUAAAGGAGCUUUGACUGCUUCUGGUGAAGAAAACUCCUCUUUAUCUCCAUGAGGGAAAAUGAAGAAGCACUGCUCAUUUUCUGCUCCACUCCUUAACAUGAAUUGGAGGUGUAAAGCCUGUAUUACAGAAAAAAUAUUACUGUCCUUGCAGAGCAACUGAAAUUAAUGGUUCACAUUUCACUGAAACAUGCAAACUUUUUGUUCAGAGUUUUUGCUCUCUAUAAAUGAUUUUGCAUAUAGAUAGAGGCAUAACCCUAAUUUGAUUGGCAUUCCCCCCCUUUCAAACUACCUUGGUAAAAUAACUGCCUAUUCUCAACAUAGCAUUUAGAGAAGAGCAAAUUGAUAUAUCUUUGGAACUUGUUACACAAACCUUAAAAAAAAAGAUUGUGCAGAAAUAAAAGGAUAUACAGGUGUACUUAAAAUGAGGAAUAACUUCUUUAAAAGGG